UACGGGGGGAGCAAGCGUUGUUCGGAUUCAUUGGGCGUAAAGGGUGCGUAGGCGGCGGGGCAAGUCUGAUGUGAAAUCCCGGGGCUCAACCCCGGAACUGCAUUGGAUACUGCCUUGCUAGAGUACUGGAGAGGAGACUGGAAUUUACGGUGGAGCAGUGAAAUGCGUAGAGAUCGUAAGGAAGGCCAGUGGCGAAGGCGAGUCUCUGGACAGUAACUGACGCUGAGGCACGAAGGCCAGGGGAGCAAACGGG
rnacentral:rRNA from 1 species